CGUCACAGGAUAUGCGGUUCAACCAUGGUUCAACAUUGAUUUUGUUUGUUAGGAAAUGCGCAUUGGUCCCAAAUUAAUAUACAUGGUUAGUUACUUAGUAACGUUUCUGGGACUUGUGUUUAUGAUAGUGAUGGUUGUGAUUAUAGUUUUGAGCCGCUUAGAAAGAAAGGAAGACUUUGAAGCCAAUGUUGCGUAAACAUAGGCGUAUUUGUGGUUGCUUUCAGUGCCGCAACGCCUCGUAAUGUUAUUAGGAUGCAACCAGCUACAGAUUGUGGCACAAGUUGGAACAAAUGAUGCCUGGUCAUCUGGGCUCUGAGGUCAUACUUGGGUCAUUCCUGCGACUAGCAGAGAAGAUUGAGAAGACCUUCCUUGUGGAUGGAGUUUCUAUGAAGCUCACAAUUUGUAGCAUUGUCCCCAGAACUGAACAUGGCCCUGAGUUGUGUGGAAGGACUGAACAAGAGACUCGGAAGGUUCUGUACCAAGAAUCUACCAAAAGAGUGCGACUUUGAACUGUGACUCAUCGAUGGCUGCCAUAAGAUGGAUGUGGUGAUGGUUUUAACCAGGCAAAGAAUGUUGCUGCAACAUGAGAAAAGUAGUUUGUUUUGCUAGAACAUGUAAAGGAAAAAUGUUAAGGUAAUAUUCUGAAAACAGGAUUUUUUACAGAAUAUAAUUAUAAUUUUCAAUAUGUCCAGUUAAUCUCUUUUUAAAGCCAUUAUCUCUAAGAUUAUGUAAGUUAGAAAAUAUUGUGUAUUACCUUACUAAUUAUCAUCAAUAAAAUAUAUUUUGUAUUGUUCA